AAGUUGACAAGUUGAAGAAGGAAUUAUGAAUUCUGCUAACAUAGGUUUAUCUCCCUCCUUUAGAUUGUCCUCCAAUCCCACUCCUGUUCCCACAUAAAUCUCCUCAAUUCAGCCUCAAAGUCUGGAUCACAGCCAUCCUCAGAGACCCCAGGGCAUGGCAUUAGAAUGGGGUCUCUUUGGGCACUGACUCAGCCUCCUCACUAGGCCCAUUUACAGACAUUAGUUUUACAUUAAUGUGUGUAAAAUGCAUACUGUUGUGGAGCUAAUGUUUUCAGCUGGUAAAUAAUUCUAAAAAGUCAAAGACGGGAGUUCCCAUCAUGGCUCAGCAGUAACAAUCCCAACUAGUACCCACGAAGAUGUGGGCUCAAUCCCUUGCCUUGUUCAGUGGGUUAAGGAUCUGGCAUUGCUGUGAGCUGUGAUGUAUGUCACAGACAUGGCUCAGAUCCCUCAUUGCUGUGGCUGUGGCAUGGGCUGGCAGCUGCAGCUCCAACUAGACCCCUAGCCUGGGAACUUCCAUAUGACAAGGGUUUAGCCAUAAAAAUGCAAAAAAAUAAAACAAAAGGUCAAAGACAAAGCUAAAUACUGGGCUUGUGCAUGGGGAUGUGGAAGAGAGCUGGAGCCAGAGACCCAAGAUGACGGAUAUCCCGAGCCUUUUCCUCCACUGGUGAGGAAAGAACUGGCACCAGAGGGGCACCAGCAACAGUGUAGCAGGUGACCAAACCCAAGAAAGAGCUUGGAUCUGAGUGGGACCCAGAACUUGACCUGGUGAGGGGCCUCUCAGAGAGACAGAGUGACUCUGGGAAAACCACUGUAGCCUGAGUUCCCCAAUCAGUGGGAAUAACUGGACAACACAAAGGGGCUUGUGGAUGAGCACUGUGUCAGCCACACAGGAUGGUGUGACCAUUAUCCCCAAGCCCUGGUCUUAGGUUUUGUGAUUUGAAGCAAGGCCCGCAACCCUCCUGAGCCUAAGGGAAGCACUGGGAAGAGCGGCAGGAGAGUGGGAGGGCGCCAGACCGCUGAACCCAGAUUUCAUCAAAUCUCUUCCUUCUGCUCACCCCCUUAAGAAGGAAAGCCCCAUGGGGCUUGGGGUGCAGGGCCCAUGUCCCUGCCUGCAUCUGAACCUUCCAUCCUCCAGUUCCUGGAUGACUAAGAUGCUGCCGCCUCCCACCCGCCACGCACCCCUAGUGCUGCCCAGGGCAGGAUCCGGAGAGGGGCUCUCCAUCCACGGCCUGCACCCAGAAGGCACUAGAUGGGAGCCACGGGUCCUCCGCGCCGACUUGCAGCGCCGCCACCAGGGGGCGCUGCUCCCCUUGAAACGCUCCGAACCUUCCCUGGAUUUGGGGCCAGUCCUACAGAAAGCAGGCAUGUGGAAAUAAAGGUGGGCAAAUGAGAAGCUGUGAUGGAAGAAACAAAUACCGUAGCAAUGGCCAGGUCCCCAAAGUUCUGGUCUUGUUCCGGACCCCAAAUUCACGUUAAAGGGGCUCAUGUGACAAGUGGUACCUGCCUGUAGAAAUUUGGUUCUGACAUAAGGCCCACGUCCCCAGUUCUGCCUGACCGUAUGUGGGACUCUGUCACCACAGCAUGCAGGUUUAUAGCCAUUUGAGAUCAUCUAGGAACCAGUCUAGUUCCCAAGACCCAGGCCAGUAGGGACGGUACAGGAUAAAUAAGGGAAGUUUCCUGGUGACCUAGGGGUUAAGGAUCCAGCACCAUCACCACUGUGGCACAGGUCUGGCCCCUGGCCCAGGAACUUCUGCAUGCUAUGGGCAUGGCCAAAAAGAAGGAAUAAAUAGGGGAGAAGGACUUUGGAACCAGCAAAUUCUUUCCCAAGUAAGAAGCUUCAUGUCCCUGAGCAAGCCACCCAACCUCUCUGAGGCUGUUUUGUGAUAGAGAUAACAGUGCCUCCUGAAGGGGUCACUGGGACCAUCAGAGGUGAUGAUGCAGCUCCCAGCCCCAACCAGGCAGCUCGACCCUCUCACUGCCGCAACCCACUGGUGCAUGGCUGCCUUCUGAACCACUGUUCAACCGAGAAAACAAAUAUAUAAAACAGACAAGCCAGGUACCACUCCACUUCCACCUGAUUGGCUAUAAUUUUUAAAAAAAGACAAGUAUUGGUGAUGAUGUGCAAAAGUUGGAAUCCUCAUCCACUGCUGGUGGGAAUGUGAAGUGGUGCAGUCAGAGGAACAGCCUAGUCAUUCCUCAGAAGUUUCACUGUAGAAUCACCAUGGGAUCCAGCAAGUCUCCUCCUCCGUAUAGGCCCAAGAGAACUAAAAACAUAUGUUCAAAAAAAUCUGGCCCACAAAUGCUCAUAGUACCAAGAUUCACAGCCACUGAAAAGUGGAGACAGGGAGGCCCCAUCGUGGCUCAGCAGAAAUGAAUCUGACCAACAUCCAUGAGGACACAGGUUUGAUCCCUGGCCUCGUUCAGUGGGUUAAGGAUCUGGCGUUGCCUUGAGCUGUGGUGUAGGUCGCAGACAUGGCUCGGAUCUGCCUCCUCUCCCUGCUCCUUAAAUGUGAAGGAAUGUUCUCAGAGCUGUCCUGGACGCCCUCCUCCUUUUGCUCUACCUUGUGGUGGGGGGCACAGACCAUUGUCUUAUAUGCAUCAGGGUGGGCAGACAUCUGGGGACACAUAAGCCAGAAUCAGAGGCUCACCUCACUGUCACUGAUGUCCUUUCUCACUGGACGAAGUUGUGUAGGGAUCCCUGGGCAGCUCUCUACCUGCCUUAAGAAAGCCAGGUCCUUCCACCUGGGACGGCUCCGUCCACACUCCAGGAGAGAAGGGAAGACCCUGAGGAAGGCACUAGAAACUCAGCCACCACCCACCCUCCCACCUCAGCCGUUCCUCACCUAAAAUACACAGAAGCCGGGAAGAAAGUAGGGCUAACCUGUUUUCCCUACACUAGAGAAGUGGGGGGUGCAGAGGUCCUGGAGAUCAUUGCUGUCACAACCUGCAGGCAGUGUCUAUCCUCGGGUCUCUCCGUUAGCUACAGACAGACGGCUCCCUGGCUCCUCAGUGCGCAGCCCUUGCCCCGUUAAACGCACUCAUUCUACAGUUUUCCGUGCCAGCACCCAGCCCAAAAUCUUGGGGAGCACAGGUGACAUGGGCCACCACGUGAAGAAGCAGGGCCCAUGGAAACAGCUCUGGGGAGCCCCACUUUGUGGCCUCUCGCCUUCCCCUCCAGGACGUUAAGUCCCAAGACUCAUGUCACUCCAGCAUCUGAAGUCUGCUGUUCCUGAAGGUCAUGUUCGCAAGUCUCAUUCCUGUGACUAGAAUGCUCAGCCCUGUGUGAGCGUCCAAGCUGCCCCUUGCAGUCGGCAGAAGCGAGCAGCUGGCAGAGAACACUUGGCCAAGAUGCAUUUCCUCAGCCCUUGCAGAGGCAAUGGGAGGGAAGGUUUGGAGCUGACACUUCCUCUCACCCCCACCCCCACCACUAGGGAUCACUGCCUGCUGACCCUUGUCAUGAGCCCUGGGAACCCUAUGGUCUACCAACCUGUGGGCCGCACUGCCUCUGGCACAGUCCACUUGGAAACCAAGGAGCCCCAGGGCCAGCUCUCUUUCCCACGUGUUAAAAGAAAAUCUCGAACACCCUCCAUCCUGAGCAGCAGUGGGAGUGCAGACCCUCCCCAGCGUGGAGGUCGUCCGGAAUCCCUGCACCCCUUACCCACCAAGCUCAGCCUUGCCCUAGGACUCCCUGGGGACACUCUUUCCACCUAAAGGGGCCUUUCUCUGGCCAAGUCUUAUCUCAUGGUCAACAUUCAAGACAGACAUCCAGUCAAAAACCACCACAGAAGCACUUACCUUGUUAAACCCCUCUUUCCUAAUCCUCCACAUAUGACUGUCAAGAGUCUUUCUUAUUUAUUCACUUGUCUGUUUGUUCAUCAGCUGCCCCACCCCCCUAGUGGAAUACAAGCUCCAGGCAGCAGGGACCUCCAAGCACCUAGCAGAGCUCAGUACACUGUAGGAGCACAAUAAAAACUGUUCAUCAGUAUACGGGGCUGUUAAAGCUGCACGGCAGCAGGUGUAAAGCAAAAAGUUGCAGACGGGAGUGCAGGAGAGAGCAGGGGACCCUGCUCUGAGGGAGUGAGUGUGACACAGACCCUCGGUUGGGAGGGGUGGGGUGGAGUUCUGGCAACACCUGACAAAGCAAUUUCCUGGCUGGUGAGGCAGGAGCUGGAGUGUGAAGGUUACAGAGCCGGGGGACAGUCAGUCUUCCGCAGGCAAUUCUUUGGAAGUUUUGCUGAAACAAGGAAGAGACAGUGUGCGGCUGAAAGAAGAUUUGUGUCGUGUGAUGUUGCGGUGGGGCUGUGGGGUUGGGGAGAAGCAGCUGCAAAAGGAAGACGAAUCUGAAGAUAGAGGUGGGUGGAGGGAGGGAGGUCCAGGAGGGGCUGGGGGAGCCGGGGGAGAGCCUCAAACUGGCUGAUAGCACGGAUGGCCUGAACCCAGCGAGAACACAGACUGGGACUUGAACCCAUGGUUUUAAAUUUCAAUCCCUCACCCUGAGCCUGGACUCACUGAGGUUAGGGUUCUUCAUGUCUCCGUGCAGAAGGAAUUCAGCGAGAGACAAAGGGAUAGGCAAGAAAUAGAUUUAUUAACGUAGGAGGCUUGUGAGAGGUGCAAGCGGGCAGUCACGGAAACUCUGCCCCAAGGAUCCGGGGAGCUACCGUUUUUAUCAGCCAAGGGGAAUGUGGGUCGGAAAAGCCCACCUCUUUCUUUCCUCCUUAGUAUCAGGUAAGGUGUGUAUUCAAAUCCGCAGAAGGGUGGUCCUCAAACUCUCGCCCUUGGUCUGAAUCUGGAUGCAGGCCUCAUCCCACCCCCACCCAAGGACCUGGGGCAGUUCUCAAGGCUCCACUAAGGAGGCAAACCUGCUUUGUUCUGAUGGCUUUUUUGAGCCAUUUAUUUACUUACGGCGAUCUCCCAAUGUCCCAUAAGUUUCCCUCCUUGUCUGUGGCCCUUUACCGGGGCUUCUGCAACCACCAGUGUCUACUCCACUCCUAUCAAUACCACCCUCUACGCACUGCAGGAUCACGGAAGCUAAGCAGGGUCGGGCCUGGUUAGUACUUGGAUGGGAGCCUCUAGCCGCAGGCAGGACCCUGCUCAGUUCCUUCUAGGCCUGUGGCCAAGGCUGAGGCUCUCUGGGCCUCCACUGCACCCGGGGC
rnacentral:lncRNA from 1 species